AGCGAUGCCAUUUGUGUCCUGAUCUUCUCAUUAAGAAGCUUAAUCUCUCAAAGCCAGUGAACAAGGUUUUGCAGCCCAGUGGGUGGUGGAAGACUUACUAAGGUGAAUAGACUCUCUUCUGGUUCCUUACUGAGAAUAGAAAGUUGGAGGUGUCAUGAAUGCCAAGGGAAAUUCUCAUCUGAAAACCUAAAGGAGCCUCACUUGGCCAUCAUCAGACAACUUCAUUACCAUCCUGACAAGGUCAAACUCCUCUAUCCUCAGCAAUGCAACAUUUUAUCCAACAAACUAAUGUGACAGGACUUUCUAAGAUGACAAGCGUGGAGCCUCCUUUCCAGUGACCCCUUAGAAGACUUGACGGUCACGAGUUUCAGAUAAUAGAGCUCCACCAAUGAGGGCAUCUGUGUUCUUGCAGCCACCACCAACCAUUAUUGAUGCCCUGUGACGAAUAUGAGCACUGUGAUCUACACCAGGAGGAGACUCAUUGCGGAGCUGUACGUGCAUCCUUGAACCUGCCACAGUGACUCUCUCCCUAAGAGCGGAUAAAGUAUGGGUUCUUUGCUUCAUUGACUUCUCUAGACAUUGAAGGAGGAAGCACUCUUAUUCCCAAAGCAGCAGCCCUGAUUCAAGGACACAGCACAACUCCAUCACCACCUGACAUUUCAAUAAGCCUUAGCAUGCUUCCAACAUUCUAAUAACAUUCAAAUCAUGGAGAAAUGUCCUACUUUACAUUGCAAGAUCUGUCAGAAAAGCUCAAUGUUGGGUUGGCCUCUCCAAGCACUGAAGAGUAAGACACUGUCGUUUCCAGGGCAACAGCCUUUGAUUCCAACAUUUACGUAACAAAAAAUGAACGGAAACUACCCUUGAUUAGUGAUUCUACUCCCCCAGCCAAAGCUGUACUGGUUGGUUGCAACUAGAAGAAUUCAGCAGAAUUAUAAUGUCUCAUCAGUGAGAUGAUGAGUACAAAGCUCACCACUACCAUGUUCUUAAUUAAACAAAGAAAUAAAGAAAUGUCACACAGAAAUCUGAAAUGAGCUACUAAGAAGCUGAUGCGUAGGUUUUUUUCAGGCAUAUUUGACCUAUGAUUUGUAUAUCCUUCUCUGAAAGAAGUUUGAAAGGAAAUUGAAACAGACCACCUUUUCCCCACCUUUUCUAUCCAUUUCUCUUCUGUUCUUCAAAAUAGAUUAGCACGUUUAGAGUUUUAAAUAGGGUAAUUGGUUAAUAUAGUCUUAAGCUUAUGAAAAAGUAAAUUUGAGGUCCCUACUAACUCUGAAAAAUACAUAGAGAAGACAUGAUUGCCUAUUUAGAUCAACCAAAGCAUGCAAAACUGUUUUCUUUCCACUUGCCAACCAUCCACUACAAUUUCCAACCUACUCAUUCUUUAAAGCCUUAUUCAAAUCAGAUCUUUUUCACAAAUAGUAUCCUAAUUUAUGACCUGAUACACUUUCUUUAUUACAAUGUUCUAUUUGUAUAAAUCUAAAUCUCCAUGUCAACAUCUGUCGAUACUAGAUCUCCAUCUCUUUUUAUCCAUCUGCAUUUCUUAUUUUACUAUUUCACUUCAAGUCCCUAAGAACCACUUUUACAUCUAAAUAUGUGCACCGUAGUGUCUGCCUCAUGUUUGUCAAACUGGACUGAAAGCCAAGUAGGCUGAAAUCAUGAAUGGUCUCCCAACUUCUUCUUUCCAGUUAGAGUUCAUUGGAUUUUGUGCACAUAGUGAUAGAGUGCAUUGGAUUUUGUGCACAUAGUGAUUAUUACACUUAUAGAAUCAAACAAGGGCUGGACAUAUUUCAGAUUUAAUUUGUGACAUCAUACUGUCAGAUUUCACAUUGCGUAUCAAUUCUAAUAAAAUUAUCCUAAAUAUACAGAGAGGAUUUGUGAUAUGGACUCCUCUAAAAUUACUUGCUUUGGGGCCCAAAUUUCCAAGCAGAAUUUCAGAAGCCUCCCAAAUGAGUUUCUCCUUGUUCUACUGUCAUUUUUCUAUGUGAACAUAAGCAAGUUACUUAGAAUCCUUGGGAAAACAGAAAUAACAACAUCAUAUCAGUAGCCUAGCAACUUCUCAAAACCAUUAUGUGAUAAUGUCUAUAGAGUGCUUUCAGCUUAUUAGAUGGAGAGGGGUUUUAUAAAAACAAGCCAUUUCUGGUAUAGUUAAGCAAUACGUACUGGAGCAAGGUCAUAUUGCCCAACAUUUUUCACUAGUUUUCCAAUUCUCUGAAAAGCUCAACAAUCUAAGACUAGAAGUAAUUUUAAUAAUGUGUGUACAGAGUAACCUUAAUUAGCCACAACAUAACAAUAGCCCUCAAGUAAACAGAUUUUUUUCCAAACUGAGAAGGCCCACAUUCUUCUCAAUUAACAAUUUAAACGAUAAGUUGACUAUAUUCUUCUAAAUGUUUUACAUGCAAUUCCUCAAUUAACCAUUACAACUAACCUUUACAAUAUUAAUACUCCAAUUUGGUAUAUGAGAAAAAUGACAGUUACAGAACAUAAGCAAACUGAUAAGAACAACUCAGUGGCUUUAGAUACAGCAUAUAGACACAGGUAACCUGACCCAGGAACCAGGAUUUUUUAACCACCAUUCAUUUCUAAAAGGGGAGAGGCGAGAAAUUAUGAGGACUAUGGAAGGAAAAAAAUAUUUUCCUCUUCACCUUGUGACAUAAGCAAAAUUUGGUAUGUGAGUCACAAUUUUAAUGUUGGAUUGCUCACACAAGUUACAAAAAGGAAGAAGUAGAGACCAUGACUGUGAUUCUGGAGGAGUUUAAAUUCCAGGAAGACCUGGUAUAGCCAAGUCUGGGUAGAAAGGCAGACAACUUCUCCAGUGGUGACCUGUAAAGGUGAUGAUCAUGUGCUUCUCAGAAUUCAGCAAACACCACUGAUGUAACUCUUGGCACAAUCACGGGACCUGCCACCACCCUCACCUCGGACUCACCCAAAGUUCACUCCAUCUAGUGUUAACUAGGAAAAGAGGGACAACAAAAUUCAUCUGUGUGUUCACAAGUUCUUUCAGAUUUACUUGAUUUAAAAAGAUGACUAAACUGGUAAAGAGGAUGCUAUAAAAUGAGAAUCUCUCUCAUUUGGCAAAGGUUUUUGACAAGAUACUUAAAUAUGGGUUCACAUUAUCAGAGGUAGAUAGAUUUGGACCUUGGUGCAAGACAACUAAGGUCUCACUAAUGACAAAUAAAAUUAAUUUAAUGGAAUAUAUCUGGUUUCAUCCAGAAAAGAUUUUUCCCAACCACUUCAAUAUUUUUAACAAUUUUGUUGACAACAUAAAAAGCAAACAAAUCCAAUUUGCUGAAAGUAGGAACCUUCAGGAUAUCUGAAAGCUGAAUAACAGAGUCAGAAAUCUAAGAGUUUUUCAGGCUGAGCUCAAAUAAACAAGCUGUAACAUAAACCCAAUCUGUGUGGCACUGCAAAAGCAGUCCAGAAUUGCCAGGAUUUAAAAGCAAAGUUGAGCUUAAUAUGGAAAGUACCUUUUCAACAAUUAGUAUUAUCUUAAAAUAUUUUAAAUAAAUAUCUUUAAAAAAUACCAUCAUAGGAAGUUAGACAAUUAGUUAGAUAAAUGAUUUUUUUUUCCUAACAGAGCCCUGAAUGGGGUUACAUAGUUUUUUAAGAAUAUGUCGUGUAUUCUUGUAUAUUCAGGUAUGCCAUUGAAAAAAUAGGAUAUUAGCCUCUCUCUAGUUCUAUGAGUUUCUUUGAAGAAUCAGUUCAGAUAAAACAAACAGCUGAUAGCAUUUUCAGAACUCAUGAUGUCAAAACCAGGAGCAUAAGCAUAUAGCAAUUUUGCCAUACAAUUGCAGUGUGGCCUGAGGAUGGUUUUGAACCAGGCUCCUUUGCCUACAGACAUAGCACUGAAUGAGGAGAACAUCCAGGAAAACCCAAAGGUCAGAAGGACCUUGGUUUUCCUUUGAGUUUCAUUUAAUGUAUUUUUCUUUUUAUCAAACAUUAGGCCCUUGAGUUUGUUUUCUUUUCAAAUAGUUCAUAUUUAGAGAAAAGAUUAAAAACUUCCGUGAUAAAUUAGCUAUUCUGAGUCCAUUUUAUUGCUACCAAUAGUUAUUUUUAAUGUUUAUUUUUAACACAAUCCAUCUAAAUUCUUAAGAGAUUUUGUUAUCUUGAUUUAAAAGCUAUUGCCUUUUUAUUUCUUUUGUUAGUCAAAUUCCACUAGUAGUUUUAUUAUAUGUGUUAUAAAUAAGUUAUAAUAAUAUUAGAAUUUGGGAAACAUUUUAAGAUCACUUAAGAGUGGAUUCUUGCUAAUGUACUAGAACUGACUUUUAAAGGGACACCAUAAACAUUUACAGACAGUAGAACCAUGGUUAAUAAUUACUGUGAAUUUUCAAAGAUUCAAAUUAUGAAAUUAUUCUUCAAUGAGCAAAAUAAAAUGAUUAGAGAGUACACUAUAACUGAAUUUUAAUAAAAUGAUUUGUAUAGCGCCUUCUAAUUUGUGGUGUGAACUGAUAAAUACCAUCAGUAAGAGUAUAAGUUAUAAGUUAUAGAUUAGUAAAAACCUAGAUUAUCGAUAUAAGAUUUUGAUAAGUGAGAUAAUUAUAAAGCAAGAACUGUCAUAGACAGGCCUAAGUCUCCACUUUGCUGACUUCUAUUAAAAAUCGGUUGCAAGAGCUGUUUCUGAGAAACUGAUUUAAAUGAAAGCUGUUUUCUUAUAAUAUAUUGUUUUCUGUACUUUGUAUCCCACAAAAUGUACUCAACCCAGUAUAUGGUGAUCUUGGUGACCCAAAACUUUGAAAUAGAUUCUCAUCCCCACUUACCACCUGCUCAAACUCAGGGUAUGAUUGUCUAACACCUGAUCGGACCCAAGAUGUGGUUAACUGAGUCGCAAAAGCUGACCACUUUUUUUCUAGCUUCUGUGAUUGGCUUGCUUGCAUGAUGCUAAGGAAAGCCCCUGCAUUGUGGUUUUCAUCGUUAAGUUCCCAGGAUACAGGCCAGGAAGCUACUGUUCUCCCACAGAGCUUCAGUCUCUAUCGGUAAAUAAAGGUAA